AAAAGGCGGCGUAAGCUGUCGCUAAAGGAUGGACCCGCGGUGCAUUAGCUAGUUGGUAAGGUAACGGCUUACCAAGGCGACGAUGCAUAGCCGAGUUGAGAGACUGAUCGGCCACAUUGGGACUGAGACACGGCCCAAACUCCUACGGGAGGCAGCAGUAGGGAAUCUUCCACAAUGGGCGAAAGCCUGAUGGAGCAACGCCGCGUGAGUGAAGAAGGUUUUCGGAUCGUAAAGCUCUGUUGUUGGUGAAGAAGGAUAGAGGUAGUAACUGGCCCCUAUUUGACGGUAAUCAACCAGAAAGUCACGGCUAACUACGUGCCAGCAGCCGCGGUAAUACGUAGGUGGCAAGCGUUGUCCGGAUUUAUUGGGCGUAAAGCGAGCGCAGGCGGAAAGAUAAGUCUGAUGUGAAAGCCCCCGGCUUAACCGAGGAAUUGCAUCGGAAACUGUGUUUCUUGAGUGCAGAAGAGGAGAGUGGAACUCCAUGUGUAGCGGUGGAAUGCGUAGAUAUAUGGAAGAACACCAGUGGCGAAGGCGGCUCUCUGGUCUGUAACUGACGCUGAGGCUCGAAAGCAUGGGUAGAGAACAGGAUUAGAUACCCUGGUAGUCCAUGCCGUAAACGAUGAGUGCUAAGUGUUGGGAGGUUUCCGCCUCUCA
rnacentral:rRNA from 1 species